AAAUUGGGGUUAAAGUUUUGUAAAUAGACUAGUCCACGUAUGCCAACAGUAUGUAAUCAUCGAAUGUCGAUAGACAAUUGUAUACCAAAAUGGGCGCACUACGUUUGCGCGCAUUUGGGGAUUAAAAUGUUUUACGUUUGCGCGCAGCUUUUGAUUACAUUUGCGCGCAUUUAUCUUACAGGUAAACCCAGAUAAAAAACGGUAUAUGAUGAAAUAUGAAUAAUAUAAAAUUUCAUUAACUUUGAAAAGAUGUUUUAAUCAUAAUUUAUAUUGUUCAUAUUGUAUUCUAAGACAAAAUAUAAAGUGUGCAUGAUAAAUUCUGUUAUAACUUAAGGCAUACAUGUAACUUCAUUGCGAAUUUUUUCAGGGUGAUCAAGUACCCCGAAUAGUGAUCUCUUUAAAAUUCGUAAAUAAUCUA
rnacentral:lncRNA from 1 species